AGAGUUUGAUCCUGGCUCAGAGCGAACGCUGGCGGCAGGCUUAACACAUGCAAGUCGAGCGGAUGUAGCAAUACAUCAGCGGCAGACGGGUGAGUAACACGUGGGAACGUACCUUUUGGUUCGGAACAACACAGGGAAACUUGUGCUAAUACCGGAUAAGCCCUUACGGGGAAAGAUUUAUCGCCGAAAGAUCGGCCCGCGUCUGAUUAGCUAGUUGGUGAGGUAACGGCUCACCAAGGCGACGAUCAGUAGCUGGUCUGAGAGGAUGAUCAGCCACAUUGGGACUGAGACACGGCCCAAACUCCUACGGGAGGCAGCAGUGGGGAAUAUUGGACAAUGGGCGCAAGCCUGAUCCAGCCAUGCCGCGUGAGUGAUGAAGGCCCUAGGGUUGUAAA
rnacentral:rRNA from 1 species